rnacentral:rRNA from 1 species
AGUGAACGCUGGCGGUAGGCCUAACACAUGCAAGUCGAACGGCAGCACAGUAAGAGCUUGCUCUUACGGGUGGCGAGUGGCGGACGGGUGAGGAAUACAUCGGAAUCUACUUUUUCGUGGGGGAUAACGUAGGGAAACUUACGCUAAUACCGCAUACGACCUACGGGUGAAAGCAGGUGAUCUUCGGACCUUGCGCGAUUGAAUGAGCCGAUGUCGGAUUAGCUAGUUGGCGGGGUAAAGGCCCACCAAGGCGACGAUCCGUAGCUGGUCUGAGAGGAUGAUCAGCCACACUAGAACUGAGACACGGUCCAGACUCAUACAGAAGGCAGCAGUGGGGAAUAUUGGACAAUGAGCGCAAGCCUGAUCCAGCCAUACCGCGUAGGUGAAGAAGGCCUUCGGGUUGUAAAGCCCUUUUGCUGGGAAAGAAAAGCAGCAGGUUAAUACCCCGCUGUUCUGACGGUACCCAAAGAAUAAGCACCGGCUAACUUCGUG